CGGUCCCCCCGCAACGAUUACCCGUGAACCUGGUCAGAUCCGGAAGGAAGCAGCCACAGCGGGAACAUUGUGUGCCGGGGUGUGGCUGG
rnacentral:SRP_RNA from 1 species